UUCCACUAAUCUAUUAGACUACUGAUAAAAUCAUUAUAUCCAAACUGCAGCACAGAUUGUUUAAUUCAAAGUGUUACUUUGAAUAGGUAGGAAUACUUUGAAGUAUAGCCCUUCUCCUAGCUGCUGAAAAGGAUCCAGGGACACUCAUCUGUCUCGAUGAUGAAAAUCACAAAUGUCUGCAGAAAGCAUACAAGACCACAAACAUUUCAGAGGUCAACAUCAGAUUGAUUCCUACGUCUACUGAAAUAACCCUGAAGGACUCUAAAGAAAUAAUUCUCAACUCACCAAGCGAGUGGUUGCUUCCACUGACAUCAACCAGGUAGACGGUCACUGUUGGCUGCUGAUGCUUCCCAGGGGCCAGGCCAUCAGAUGCCAAGAAAAGGAAAAGUGCUGCUGCAACUCCUGGUCUAGCAAAACACACCUAGGUAUAAGCACAUGCACCAUGAGCAAUAGGCUUCCGCAGGCAAUCGAGGGAUAUGCCCAUCUUAUCUCUGUCAUUCUUGAGCACUUCUUCUUUGAACAUAAGCACCUUGUUCUCCGUUGCAAUGGAAAACAUGGAGUGAACACAGCAGCAACCAAGGUGACAGCAAACAUCAAAAUGCGAUCCCUGAGAUAAAGAUGACUGAGCAUC